rnacentral:rRNA from 1 species
GGGUGUGGCAAGGCCAGCACUCUGACCAGCCAUGCCGCGUGCAGGAUGACGGUCCUAUGGAUUGUAAACUGCUUUUGUACAGGAAGAAAUGUUACUACGUGUAGUAAUUUGACGGUACUGUAAGAAUAAGGAUCGGCUAACUCCGUGCCAGCAGCCGCGGUAAUACGGAGGAUCCGAGCGUUAUCCGGAAUUAUUGGGUUUAAAGGGUUCGUAGGCGGUUGGAUAAGUCAGUGGUGAAAUCUCAUAGCUUAACUAUGAAACUGCCGUUGAUACUGUCUGACUUGAAUAGUAUGGAAGUAACUAGAAUAUGUAGUGUAGCGGUGAAAUGCUUAGAUAUUACAUGGAAUACCAAUUGCGAAGGCAGGUUACUACGUACUUAUUGACGCUGAUGAACGAAAGCGUGGGUAGCGAACAGGAUUAGAUACCCUGGUAGUCCACGCCGUAAACGAUGGAUACUAGCUGUUCGGACUUCGGUUUGAGUGGCUAAGCGAAAGUGAUAAGUAUCCCACCUGGGGAGUACGUUCGCAAGAAUGAAACUCAAAGGAAUUGACGGGGGCCCGCACAAGCGGUGGAGCAUGUGGUUUAAUUCGAUGAUACGCGAGGAACCUUACCAGGGCUUAAAUGUAGAUUGACAGGUUUGGAAACAGACUUUUCUUCGGACAAUUUACAAGGUGCUGCAUGGUUGUCGUCAGCUCGUGCCGUGAGGUGUCAGGUUAAGUCCUAUAACGAGCGCAACCCCUAUUGUUAGUUACCAGCGCGUUAAGGCGGGGACUCUAGCAAGACUGCCGGUGCAAACCGUGAGGAAGGUGGGGAUGACGUCAAAUCAUCACGGCCCUUACGUCCUGGGCUACACACGUGCUACAAUGGCAAGUACAGAAAGCAGCUACCUGGCAACAGGAUGCGAAUCUCCAAAGCUUGUCUCAGUUCGGAUUGGAGUCUGCAACUCGACUCUAUGAAGCUGGAAUCGCUAGUAAUCGGAUAUCAGCCAUGAUCCGGUGAAUACGUUCCCGGGCCUUGUACACACCGCCCGUCAAGCCAUGGAAGCUGGGGGUACCUGAAGUCGGUGACCGCAAGGAGCUGCCUAGGGAAAAACUAUGAGGGGU